UACGUAGGGGGCUAGCGUUGUCCGGAUUUAUUGGGCGUAAAGAGCGUGUAGGCGGCCAGGUAGGUCUGCUGUGAAAACUCGAGGCUCAACCUCGAGACGUCGGUGGAAACCGUUUGGCUAGAGUCCGGAAGAGGAGAGUGGAAUUCCCGGUGUAGCGGUGCAAUGCGCAGAUAUCGGGAAGAACACCCGUGGCGAAGGCGGCUCUCUGGGACGGUACUGACGCUGAGACGCGAAAGCGUGGGGAGCGAACAGG
rnacentral:rRNA from 1 species